rnacentral:rRNA from 1 species
GACAUUGAUCUAUCAUACCAACACUGUGAACAACUUUGUCCGGCCUCUUGUCUUACGGCAAGGCGCUCUUGAUGCAUUCACUUGCAUUCUUGAGCGGGCUCGGCUUCGGCCGGGUUGGUCAUUAUUAACCCAACACCAAACCAAUCUAAUCUUAAGUCUAAAGCACUGGCCUUGCCUUUGCUUAUUAACCAAGACAACUCUCAACAACGGAUAUCUUGGCUCUCGCAACGAUGAAGAACGCAGCGAAAUGCGAUACGUAGUGUGAAUUGCAGAAUUCCGUGAAUCAUCAAAUCUUUGAACGCAUAUUGCGCUCAAGGCCUCGGCCGAGAGCAUGUCUGCCUCAGCGUCGGGUUAAUACUCGCUCAUCUACUCAUUGUAUGAGAGCGGAUCUGGCUGUCCCAAGCUUGAGCCUAGCUUGAGCUUGGGUUGGCUGAAGCAAAGAGAUCAAUGCAGGACCCGCUAUGGGCCGCAACUGGGUAGGCAACUUGUUGCUAUUCUUAGUUGUUGGCUUGGGAUUUGCAUUCGAUCCCUAACCAGGAACCCAUCUAUUUUCUCGACCUGAGCUCAGGCAAGAACACCCGCUGAACUUAAGCAUAUCAAUAAGCGGAGGAAAAGAAAUAAACCAGGA